rnacentral:rRNA from 1 species
CCUACGGGAGGCAGCAGGGGGAAUAUUGGAGUGUGGGCGAAGGCCUGAUCCAGCCAUGCCGCGGGUGUGAAGAAGGUCUCCGGAUUGCAAAGCACUUUAGGUUGGGAGGAAGGGCUGUAAGUUAAUACCUUGCAGGCUUGACGUUACCGACAGAAUAAGCACCGGCUAACUCCGUGCCAGCAGCCGCGGUAAU